GUGAUUUCGUUCAUUAGUGACCAAGAUGUGUUUUCGUCACAUUGUAACAUUUUUGGCCGUCAUAAAUGCAUAUGGAUACCUUUGCCUCGGUAUUCCUGCUGAGAAAGGUUUGAUAAUUGGAACGUACAAUCCCACUUUGCUGAUCACAGUCAAAGAAAUACCUACGAGUCAAAGGGAUUAUUACAACAACGCUUCAUAUCCACUAUCUACUAUCACUUUGCCGACCGGCAUUACCUCUGAUCCAAAGAAAAAGGUUGUAUUUUUUAACAUCGGAGACACCAUUUACGAAUACCAAAAUUUUUCCAUCUGGCAGCAGCUGAAUAUAUCUCACCUUUCAAACCAUUCAAAGGAAGGUCUCUAUCAAUGGGUCAAAUGGCUUUUGAUUAUGUUUCAAAUAAUUUAUACUGGUGUGAUUCCGAGUUGAAAUGGAUCGCCAUGAAACCAGCAUACAGUGACGACAAUGCAAUGUUUAAAAUCGUUGUACACAACAAUUUGGGGUACCCGCAAGGAUUAGCUCUUGAUCCUGAGGACGGGCUGAUGUUCUUUUCGGACAAUAAACCGAAAUCAAGAAUCGAAAAAGCCUCCAUGGAUGGAACAAAUAGAUCUGUUAUAGUACAUACUGGAUUGCUAGAAAUAUCAGCUCUUUCUGUCGAUGCUACCAAUAAGUUACUUUAUUGGGGAGAUUAUAAAAGACAUACACUUGAAGUAAGCAACUAUGAUGGGUCCAAAAGACGAGUUCUGAGACGCAUGAACCUCUUUAAUGUGUCAGCACUACACUAU